UUUCUCUGCUCUUACUGGCAAGACAGGAAGGGCUGUUUUCACAACAGUAGAGGACAGUAAAAUGAAGUGCAGUUAUUUCUUAAUGCUGACCCUGGAAAAAUGAUGCCAAGUCUUGUGAUAAGCAACUUAUUUUCUCAAAGGCUUAUGGUGAGGCUGGGGGAAAAUCGUAUGAGACACCUUUAAAAUAUUUCUUGACUAGAUGGCGUAUGGACAAUCAGUCUACAAAUUUAGCAGUCGUGCUCCACCUGUGAGUACGCACGGUAAUGGUGGAAGCUCUCGGACUCCUGCCCUGCCUGAUGAUGGAAAUGUUAUGGGAAUGAUGGCUAGGUCUGCCAGAUACUGGGUGAAGCGAGAACCUCCUCGAUGUUGGGUCAGAGGCUGCACCUGUGCUUGCUCAGAGACUUAUCUAGAAGAAGGUCGUCCUUCUAGAUCUAGGCCACAUCAUCUAGGUGGAGACAACAGCUCGACCUCCAUGAUUAGAGGGGAAUUAUUUUCAGAGGAUGAAGACAAUGAUGGCAGCACUGGGAACACUGGGACAGCCAGCUCUUGGGCUGGUGUUAGAAGUGAUGAUCAUCCCAGGAGUUUUGCAGAGGAGUAUUCGCUGGUUCCCUUAAGCAGACGAAAGCAAUACUCUGCCCAGACUUUUCAUGAGGCAGUAGAAAGAUUUUUAAGAGGGUUCUGAGCUUUGGCACAUCUGUUUUGAAUUUGGGAGCCAAAUCUGUGGAGAUGCAAAUGCCUGUCAUCAUGUGCACCGUUUAUUGUAACACAGGCUGAAGCCUGCAGAAAAGCCAUGAAGGUUCAAAUAGAGUAAAGCUCAGUAUAUUGCUCUUAGAUUGACAGACAGCUAGAAAGUUAUUUGCAUUCCAGUUUUGUCUCCUUGAUAUGUGUUGCUGUCGUCUUCAGGAGCUUAAAAACCUUUAGUAAUCAUAAGGCAUUAAAAAUGGGAAAAUUACUUUGAGUCUAAGCUAAUGUAAUGAUUAUUUAUUUUGCAAUUUAAAGAUAUAGAGGCAAAAUGCAGCCUUUUUUUUUUAAUUUCUCAGCAGUGGAGGCUCUUCUAUUUAAUAACUGUUUGAAGGGUAUUUAAAAUUCAAAGCCCUUGUUUAUUCCAGUAUUUCCUUUCACUAAAUGCUUUAAUUUACCCUAUAGAGGCCUAGAGGGUUUGGUAUUUUUUUGGUGUGUUUUUUCUUUAACUUGAUCUAAAUCUAAAAAUUGUAUUCUACUGCAUAUAUUUGAUUAUUCAUAUAUAAGCAGUUAUGUAUGAUAAUGUGAGAUAGCUAGAGCACAAUCUGCUUAAAAAAAUCUCACACCCUUUAGCUGUUAAGUUGUCA
rnacentral:lncRNA from 1 species